rnacentral:rRNA from 1 species
GCCUGACCCAGCAACGCCGCGUGAAGGAAGAAGGCUUUCGGGUUGUAAACUUCUUUUGUCAGGGACGAAGCAAGUGACGGUACCUGACGAAUAAGCCACGGCUAACUACGUGCCAGCAGCCGCGGUAAUACGUAGGUGGCAAGCGUUAUCCGGAUUUAUUGGGUGUAAAGGGCGUGUAGGCGGGAUUGCAAGUCAGAUGUGAAAACUGGGGGCUCAACCUCCAGCCUGCAUUUGAAACUGUAGUUCUUGAGUGUCGGAGAGGCAAUCGGAAUUCCGUGUGUAGCGGUGAAAUGCGUAGAUAUACGGAGGAACACCAGUGGCGAAGGCGGAUUGCUGGA